rnacentral:rRNA from 1 species
UGGGGAAUAUUGGACAAUGGGGGAAACCCUGAUCCAGCAAUGCCGCGUGAGUGAUGAAGGCCUUAGGGUUGUAAAGCUCUUUUACCCGGGAUGAUAAUGACAGUACCGGGAGAAUAAGCUCCGGCUAACUCCGUGCCAGCAGCCGCGGUAAUACGGAGGGAGCUAGCGUUGUUCGGAAUUACUGGGCGUAAAGCGCGCGUAGGCGGCUUUCCAAGUCAGAGGUGAAAUCCCGGGGCUCAACCCCGGAACUGCCUUUGAAACUGGAUUGCUAGAAUCUUGGAGAGGCGAGUGGAAUUCCGAGUGUAGAGGUGAAAUUCGUAGAUAUUCGGAAGAACACCAGUGGCGAAGGCGACUCGCUGGACAAGUAUUGACGCUGAGGUGCGAAAGCGUGGGGAGCAAACAGGAUUAGAUACCCCCGUAGUCC